rnacentral:rRNA from 1 species
AAAGACUUAGUCCUGACCUUACCGUUAGUUCUUGCCAAGCAUAUACAUGCAAGUAUCAGCGCCCCAGUGUAAAUGCCCUGACCUUCUUAAUAAGAAAACAGGAGCGGGCAUCAGGCACGCCUACCAGUAGCCCAAGACGCCUUGCCCAGCCACACCCCCACGGGUACUCAGCAGUAAUUAACAUUAAGCAAUGAGCGCAAGCUUGACUUAGCUAUGGCAACCUUAAAGGGUUGGUAAAUCUUGUGCCAGCCACCGCGGUCACACAAGAAACCCAAACUAACUGUCCACGGCGUAAAGAGUGACACCCUAUUAUCCCGUAACUAGGCUCAAAAUGUAACUAAGCCGUCAUAAGCACAAGAUACACCAAAGCCCACCCUAAAAACGACCCUAGAACACACGAUCGACUGCACCCCACGAAAGCCAGGACCCAAACUGGGAUUAGAUACCCCACUAUGCCCGGCCCUAAAUCUAGAUGUUUAUAAUAACCAAAACAUCCGCCCGGGUACUACGAGCACAAACGCUUAAAACCCUAAGGACUUGGCGGUGCCCCAAACCCACCUAGAGGAGCCUGUUCUGUAAUCGAUACCCCACGAUACACCCGACCACCCCUUGCCAAAAACCAGCCUACAUACCGCCGUCGCCAGUCCACCUCCUAUGAAAGUCCAACAGUGGGCACAACAGCCAACUUCACUAACAAGACAGGUCAAGGUAUAGCCUAUGGGGUGGAAGAAAUGGGCUACAUUUUCUACCAUAGAUAAACUACGGAAGGGGUUGUGAAAUCCACCCCCGGAAGGCGGAUUUAGCAGUAAAGCGGGAUAAUGAAGCCCCCUUUAAACUGGCCCUGGGGCACGUACAUACCGCCCGUCACCCUCCUCACAAGCCACACAGUUCCCAUACAUUAAAACACCCACUAGCCGAAGACGAGGUAAGUCGUAACAAGGUAAGUGUACCGGAAGGUGCACUUAGCAUAUAC